AGAGUUUGAUCCUGGCUCAGGACGAACGCUGGCGGCGCGCUUAACACAUGCAAGUCGAACGGGUCUGCUCCUUUCGGGGGGCAGGUCAGUGGCGGACGGGUGCGUAACACGUGAGCGACCUGCCGAGGGGUGGGGGAUAACUCCGGGAAACCGGGGCUAAUACCGCAUGCGCUCUUCUGCCUGCCUGGGCGGGAGAGGAAAGGCUCUGGCCGCCCUUUGAGGGGCUCGCGGCGUAUCAGCUAGCUGGUGGGGUAACGGCUCACCAGGGCGACGACGCGUAGGGGGUCUGAGAGGAUGGCCCCCCACAUUGGGACUGAGAUACGGCCCAGACUCCUACGGGAGGCAGCAGUGGGGAAUCUUGCGCAAUGGCCGAAAGGCUGACGCAGCGACGCCGCGUGCGGGAGGACGCCUUUCGGGGUGUAAACCGCUGUCAGGGGGGACGAAGGGCAGCGUCAGCUGCCGUGACGGUACCCCCAGAGGAAGCACCGGCUAACUCCGUGCCAGCAGCCGCGGUAAUACGGAGGGUGCGAGCGUUGUCCGGAAUCAUUGGGCGUAAAGCGCACGUAGGCGGUCCGUUAAGUCUCUUGGUAAAGGCCGGGGCUCAACCCUGAGCAGGCCGGGGAUACUGGCGGACUGGAGAGAGGCAGAGGCCAGUGGAAUUCCGGGUGUAGCGGUGGAAUGCGUAGAGAUCCGGAAGAACACCGGAGGCGAAGGCGGCUGGCUGGGCCUACUCUGACGCUGAGGUGCGAAAGCGUGGGGAGCGAACAGGAUUAGAUACCCUGGUAGUCCACGCCGUAAACGAUGGACACUAGAUGCUGGGGGGAUCGACCCUCUCGGUGUCGGAAGCUAACGCGUUAAGUGUCCCGCCUGGGGAGUACGGCCGCAAGGCUGAAACUCAAAGGAAUUGACGGGGGCCCGCACAAGCGGUGGAGCAUGUGGUUUAAUUCGAAGCAACGCGAAGAACCUUACCUGGGCUUGACAUGCGAGAGCAACCCCGGUGAAAGCCGGGGCCUCCUUCGGGACUUUCGCACAGGUGCUGCAUGGCUGUCGUCAGCUCGUGUCGUGAGAUGUUGGGUUAAGUCCCGCAACGAGCGCAACCCUUGCCUGCUGUUGCCAGCGGCGUCGCAAGACGGCCGGGGACUCUGCAGGAACUGCCGGUGAUAAACCGGAGGAAGGUGGGGACGACGUCAAGUCAUCAUGGUCCUUACGUCCAGGGCUACACACGUGCUACAAUGGCCGGGACAAACCGCGGCGAACCCGUGAGGGGGAGCGAAUCGGAAAAACCCGGUCCAAGUUCGGAUUGCAGUCUGUAACUCGACUGCAUGAAGGUGGAAUCGCUAGUAAUCGUGGAUCAGCUACGCCACGGUGAAUCCGUUCCCGGGCCUUGUACACACCGCCCGUCACGCCAUGGAAGUUGGGAGCGCCCGAAGUCCGUGUCCGAACCGCAAGGACGGAGCGGCCGAAGGCGAGCUCGAUGACUGGGGCGAAGUCGUAACAAGGUAACC
rnacentral:rRNA from 1 species